GACGAACGCUGGCGGCGUGCCUAAUACAUGCAAGUAGAACGCUGAAGGAGGAGCUUGCUUCUCUGGAUGAGUUGCGAACGGGUGAGUAACGCGUAGGUAACCUGCCUGGUAGCGGGGGAUAACUAUUGGAAACGAUAGCUAAUACCGCAUAAGAGUAGAUGUUGCAUGACAUUUACUUAAAAGGUGCAAUUGCAUCACUACCAGAUGGACCUGCGUUGUAUUAGCUAGUUGGUGAGGUAACGGCUCACCAAGGCAACGAUACAUAGCCGACCUGAGAGGGGGGUCGGCCACACUGGGACUGAGACACGGCCCAGACUCCUACAGGAGGCAGCGGUAGGGAAUCUUCUGCGAUGGGCGGAAGUCUGACCGGGCAACGCCGCGUGAGUGAAGAAGGUUUUCGGAUCGUAAAGCUCUGUUGUAAGAGAAGAACGAGUGUGAGAGUGGAAAGUUCACACUGUGACGGUAACUUACCAGAAAGGGACGGCUAACUACGUG
rnacentral:rRNA from 1 species